rnacentral:rRNA from 1 species
GAUGAACGCUGGCGGCGUGCCUAAUACAUGCAAGUCGAGCGAACAGACGAGGAGCUUGCUCCUCUGACGUUAGCGGCGGACGGGUGAGUAACACGUGGAUAACCUACCUAUAAGACUGGGAUAACUUCGGGAAACCGGAGCUAAUACCGGAUAAUAUAUUGAACCGCAUGGUUCAAUAGUGAAAGACGGUUUUGCUGUCACUUAUAGAUGGAUCCGCGCCGCAUUAGCUAGUUGGUAAGGUAACGGCUUACCAAGGCAACGAUGCGUAGCCGACCUGAGAGGGUGAUCGCCCCCACUGAAACUGAGACACGGCCCAGCCUCCGACGGGAGGCAGCAGUAGGAACUCUUCCGAAAUGGGGGAAAGCCGGGCGGAGCAGCGCGGAGGGAGUGAUGAAGGUCUUGGGAUCUAAAAACUCUUUUAUGGGGAAAAAACAAAUGGGUAAGUAACUAGGCACGUCUGGACGGUACCUAAUAAGAAAGCCACGGCAAACUACGUG